rnacentral:rRNA from 1 species
UACGGAGGGGGCGAGCGUUAUUCGGAAUUAUUGGGCGUAAAGGGCGCGUAGGCGGCUUGAUAAGUCAAAGGUGAAAUCCCUCGGCUCAACUGAGGGAUUGCCUUUGAAACUGUCUGGCUCGAGGCCGGGAGGGGGUAGCGGAAUUCCCAGUGUAGCGGUGAAAUGCGUAGAUAUUGGGAGGAAGGCCGGUGGCGAAGGCGGCGCUCUGGAACAUUUCUGACGCUGAGGCUCGAAAGCGUGGGG